CCUACGGGUGGCUACAGUGGGGAAUAUUGGACAAUGGGGGGAACCCUGAUCCAGCCAUGCCGCGUGUGUGAAGAAGGCCCUCGGGUUGUAAAGCACUUUCAGUGAGGAAGAACGCCUGGUGGUUAAUACCCAUCAGGAAAGACAUCACUCACAGAAGAAGCACCGGCUAACUCCGUGCCAGCAGCCGCGGUAAUACGGAGGGUGCGAGCGUUAAUCGGAAUUACUGGGCGUAAAGCGCGCGUAGGUGGCUUGAUAAGCCGGUUGUGAAAGCCCCGGGCUCAACCUGGGAACGGCAUCCGGAACUGUCAAGCUAGAGUGCAGGAGAGGAAGGUAGAAUUCCCGGUGUAGCGGUGAAAUGCGUAGAGAUCGGGAGGAAUACCAGUGGCGAAGGCGGCCUUCUGGACUGACACUGACACUGAGGUGCGAAAGCGUGGGUAGCAAACAGGAUUAGAUACCCUUGUAGUC
rnacentral:rRNA from 1 species